rnacentral:tRNA from 1 species
GAAAUAGUUAGCUCAAUUGGGAGAGCACCACGCAAUUACAGUCGUGGAGAUUACAGGUUCGAGCCCUGUACUAUUUCU